UACGUAGGGUGCAAGCGUUGUCCGGAAUUAUUGGGCGUAAAGGGCUCGUAGGCGGUCUGUCACGUCGGGAGUGAAAACUCAGGGCUUAACCCUGAGCCUGCUUCCGAUACGGGCAGACUAGAGGUAUGCAGGGGAGAACGGAAUUCCUGGUGUAGCGGUGAAAUGCGCAGAUAUCAGGAGGAACACCGGUGGCGAAGGCGGGUCUCUGGGCCGAUACUGACGCUGAGGAGCGAAAGCGUGGGGAGCGAACAGG
rnacentral:rRNA from 1 species